CCUGGUGGCUCAGUUGGUAGAGAAUCUGCCUGUAAUGCAGGGGACCCUGGUUCGAUCCCUGGGUCAGGA
rnacentral:tRNA from 1 species